GUAGGGGGCGAGCGUUGUCCGGAUUUAUUGGGCGUAAAGAGCUCGUAGGCGGUUGCGUAAGUCGGAUGUGAAAACUCAGGGCUCAACCCUGAGAUGCCAUUCGAUACUGCGCUGACUCGAGUCCGGUAGGGGAGCAUGGAAUUCCUGGUGUAGCGGUGAAAUGCGCAGAUAUCAGGAGGAACACCAGUGGCGAAGGCGGUGCUCUGGGCCGGUACUGACGCUGAGGAGCGAAAGCAUGGGUAGCAAACAGGAUUAGAUACCCUGGUAGUCCCAUGCCCGUAAACGUUGGGCACUAGGUGUGGGGCCUACUUAACAGGUUCCGUGCCGUAGCUAACGCAUUAAGUGCCCCCGCCUGGGAGUACGGCCGCAAGGCUA
rnacentral:rRNA from 1 species